AAUCUCUGAAAAUAAA
rnacentral:sRNA from 1 species